GAAUAUCGCACAAUGGGGGAAACCCUGAUGCAGCCAUGCCGCGUGUGUGAAGAAGGCCUGCGGGUUGUAAAGCACUUUCAGUAGAGAAGAAUUUUCGAGGGUUAAUAACCCUCGGGCUUGACUUAACCUACAGAAGAAGCACCGGCUAACUCCGUGCCAGCAGCCGCGGUAAUACGGAGGGUGCGAGCGUUAAUCGGAAUUACUGGGCGUAAAGCGCACGUAGGCGGCUUUGUAAGUCGGUUGUGAAAUCCCCGGGCUUAACCUGGGAAUUGCAGUCGAUACUGCAUGGCUGGAGUAUGGUAGAGGGUAGUGGAAUUCCCGGUGUAGCGGUGAAAUGCGUAGAUAUCGGGAGGAACAUCAGUGGCGAAGGCGGCUACCUGGACCAAUACUGACGCUGAGGUGCGAAAGCGUGGGGAGCAAACAGG
rnacentral:rRNA from 1 species